ACUCUGGCUCGCUGCUCGCGCACACGCGUGCGCUCUCCUCCUUCGCCCCUUUCUUCCCUCUCUCCUCUCUCUCUCCCUCCAUCCCUCUCUUUCCUUCUCAGUUUGUGACUGACCCAGCAGCCCCGUCCCCCGUCUGCCACAAGCAGUCCACCUCCUGGUGCUGUGUGCUACGUGCCAGCCGCUGCUCCUGCUGAGUGGAGACUCUGGCACCAGUGCCCACUGCGCUCUGCCUGCCGGUGGUGUCUGGAUUUCUAUAGGAAUCCCAGGAGGGUCUUACUGGAGGGUUGAGAGCCACCUGAUUGAAGGCGUUUGCAGUCAGAGUAAAGACGGCAGCUGCCGCAGCAUGAACCCCUGAGCUGAUGAGUCUUAUUAUAGCCCGGCUGGCGGAAGACAGAGUGCUGCUAUUCACCUCUGCGUGGGCGUCGGUGGUGCAGGGGGAAGCAGCAGGCCAUCCAGCGGCUCACACCCUACACGGCUGCAGCUGCCAAGGGCCUGGCCCCUGCCUCCCUCGGGCCAUGGUGAGCUGUGGCGGGGCUGGAGAAACUGGGACCCAGGUGAGGGGAGCCUCCAGGGACAGGUGAGAGUUGUGGCCUGUGACCUCACUCUGCUCACCUCGGAGAGAUGACCUCAGUUUCUCCACCCAUAACUCAAG
rnacentral:sRNA from 1 species